AUUGAACGCUAGCGGGAUGCCUUACACAUGCAAGUCGAACGGGAUGGCGAACGGGUGAGUAAUGUAUCGGAACGUGCCCAGUAGCGGGGGAUAACUACGCGAAAGAGUAGCUAAUACCGCCUACUAUUGGAGCGGCCUAUAGGGGAUUGGCUAGUUGGUGGGGUAACGGCUCACCAAGCCGACGAUCCGUAGCUGGUUUGAGAGGACGACCAGCCACACUGGGACUGAGACACGGCCCAGACUCCUACGGGAGGCAGCAGUGGGGAAUUUUGGACAAUGGGGGAAACCCUGAUCCAGCCAUCCCGCGUGUGCGAUGAAGGCCUUCGGGUUGUAAAGCACUUUUGGCAGGAAAGCGGUACCUGCAGAAGAAGCACCGGCUAACUACGUGCCAGCAGCCGCGGUAAUAC
rnacentral:rRNA from 1 species